AUCUAUAUUAAUAAUUUCGUCAAGGGGUACGGUAGACUGGAUCGAAACCUUAUAUGAAUAACAAAGCAUAAAAAAAUAACGAUUUUGAGUCGACAACAUAUAUCCGCAAAAUUCGGAUAAUGGAGAAUUUCGUUAAAUUCCGAUGGCAUUGACAAACAAACCGCUGUCGCCAUCUUUAGUAGUUCACCAUCCACUCACUAUGCGAUCAACGCCUAAAGCUGGGUUGUCAUCGAUCCAUAAAUAAAUGGAAAUCAGUGCGUUUCGCGAUUUUCAUGAUAAUAUACUCUUUGUUAUGUGUUUUUUCUUUAAACCUGGUAUUGGCCGAUUCAACCACAAAAAAGAAUAUUAGCCAUAACCUUAUAAGUUGAAGUUCAAAUGUCAAUGUCAUUUAGUUUCGCACAGUGAUAAAUUCCAGUGACAUGCAAUUUUUGUAAUGGUAAAUUAUUUGUAAGAAACUGCAAACAAAUGCAAAUGUGCAGUCGAUGUGUGGAAUGCGACAACAUUAUACUCGAUAAUUUCAAUUAUUGCGAGUGUUGUGGCUUAGAAACAAUUAAGCAGUUAAGAAUAAACAAGGCUCGGGCACUAUCAAACCUUUUUCCUAAAAAGCAAAAAGCUGCUUCUGCUGCUUCACAAGAUUUAUUUGAUGACUUUCAGGUUGAUAACGAAGAGUUGACGCUAAUCGAGGAUUCAUUGAUGAUUGAUGAUGCUUCUUCGGACAACAAGAAAAAACAGCUACUGUCAGUCAGCAGUGAUGAUGCUUCUUCGGACAACAAGGAAAAACAGCUGCUGUCAGUCAGCAGUGAUUUUAUUUCUUUAGAAGAAGAAGAGAAAGAAAACAUAUCAAAUGGCGGGCAGACCCCCGAAAAAACAUUUAUCCAUGGACAGUGGCAACCACGAAUAUCUCAGUCAGCGGCUGAUAAAGUAAUUGCAAGAAUGUAUAAUUAUUCCUUUUCUGAUCGGGAACGAUAUUAUCUCCGGCUAUUACUUCUUCACGUCAACGGGCCGACUUGCUUCAGAGAUGUUAGAACUUAUUAAUAUGAAAAUAUUAUUUACACAUCAUUUCGAGAAGCUGCUCAAGCAAGGGGGCUACUUUUUGACGAUCAAGAAUGGGAAAGAUGUUUGGAUGAAGCAAUUGGUUUCAAACUUCCUCGGCAAUUACGACAGCUGUUUGCGUUAAUUUGCGUGUUUUGUGAAGUAACUGAUCCUAAUGCUCUUUGGGAAAAAUUUCUAAAAAGAAGAGACUAACAGAUUUCGGACUUCCGGAGCCAGAUAUUGAUGAAAAUAGUAUUUUCUUAUCUGAUCCCGUUUCUGACUAUUAAUAAGAGUUAUUUACAUAACCUAUAUUAACGAUUGAAUUUGAUUGUUUUGUUAAUUUGUCUUAGUUUAUUUUGAAUGUUGAUUUAAAAUAAAAAUAAUUUGUGUAA